rnacentral:rRNA from 1 species
GACGAACGCUGGCGGCGUGCUUAACACAUGCAAGUCGAACGAAAAGACGGAAAGAGCUUGCUCUUUCCGGAAUUGAGUGGCAAACGGGUGAGUAACACGUAAACAACCUGCCUUCAGGAUGGGGACAACAGACGGAAACGACUGCUAAUACCGAAUAAGUUCCAAGAGCCGCAUGGCCCAUGGAAGAAAAGGUGGCCUCUACCUGUAAGCUAUCGCCUGAAGAGGGGUUUGCGUCUGAUUAGCUGGUUGGAGGGGUAACGGCCCACCAAGGCGACGAUCAGUAGCCGGUCUGAGAGGAUGAACGGCCACACUGGAACUGAGACACGGUCCAAACUCCUACGGGAGGCUGCAGUGGGGAAUAUUGCACAAUGGGCGCAAGCCUGAUGCAGCGACGCCGCGUGAGUGAUGACGGCCUUCGGGUUGUAAAGCUCUGUUAAUCGGGACGAAAGGCCUUCUUGCGAACAGUUAGAAGGAUUGACGGUACCGGAAUAGAAAGCCACGGCUAACUACGUGCCAGCAGCCGCGGUAAUACGUAGGGUGCAAGCGUUAUCCGGAAUUAUUGGGCGUAAAGGGCUCGUAGGCGGUUCGUCGCGUCCGGUGUGAAAGUCCAUCGCUUAACGGUGGAUCCGCGCCGGGUACGGGCGGGCUUGAGUGCGGUAGGGGAGACUGGAAUUCCCGGUGUAACGGUGGAAUGUGUAGAUAUCGGGAAGAACACCAAUGGCGAAGGCAGGUCUCUGGGCCGUUACUGACGCUGAGGAGCGAAAGCGUGGGGAGCGAACAGGAUUAGAUACCCUGGUAGUCCACGCCGUAAACGGUGGAUGCUGGAUGUGGGGACCAUUCCACGGUCUCCGUGUCGGAGCCAACGCGUUAAGCAUCCCGCCUGGGGAGUACGGCCGCAAGGCUAAAACUCAAAGAAAUUGACGGGGGCCCGCACAAGCGGCGGAGCAUGCGGAUUAAUUCGAUGCAACGCGAAGAACCUUACCUGGGCUUGACAUGUUCCCGACGGCCGUAGAGAUACGGCCUCCCUUCGGGGCGGGUUCACAGGUGGUGCAUGGUCGUCGUCAGCUCGUGCCGGGAGAUGUUGGGUUAAGUCCCGCAACGAGCGCAACCCUCGCCCUGUGUUGCCAGCACGUCGUGGUGGGAACUCACGGGGGACCGCCGGGGUCAACUCGGAGGAAGGUGGGGAUGACGUCAGAUCAUCAUGCCCCUUACGUCCAGGGCUUCACGCAUGCUACAAUGGCCGGUACAACGGGAUGCGACACUGUGAGGUGGAGCGGAUCCCUUAAAACCGGUCUCAGUUCGGAUUGGAGUCUGCAACCCGACUCCAUGAAGGCGGAGUCGCUAGUAAUCGCGGAUCAGCAACGCCGCGGUGAAUGCGUUCCCGGGCCU